GGAUUGUGGCUCAGUUGUAGAGUGCUUGCCUAGCACGUGUGAGGCACUGGGUUCGAUUCUCAGCACCA
rnacentral:tRNA from 1 species